rnacentral:rRNA from 1 species
AUGCCUGUGCGGCUGGAGGUGGAAGAUGACUCGGGGUUGCUGGCUCUCAGCCAUGUUGGAGAUGGAGGCUUUCACUUGAUGAGUUGCCUAAAAGAAGUUCCGACACUCAGAGGUGACAAACACACUGAGUGGAGGAAGAAAGUUGAACUGGCAUUUGUUUGUGCUGAUCUUGAUUGGGUUGUGGAGAAACCACAUCCGAUCAGACCCACAGAGCCAGUAAGAGAGGCCACUGAUGAUGCUGCUGCAUGGGCUAAAAAGAAGGGGGACUAUGCUCCUUUGGAGCAGUCCUACCUCAUAGAUAACUAA